UGUCGCUCACGGUUGCCAGAAUCGUCAGGACUUCUUGAUUAGUCUGUGAGGAUUAUGGAAUAUGUGUUCUGGAGAUUUUGGAGGAAAUGAGGUCUGCAAAAUAGUAAGCUUUUGGAGAAGAAGAAGUUGCUGGGUCAGUUUCGAUUUGAAUCGGAUAAGGGAAUCUGAAGGAUUAAUGGUGGU